AAGCUAAUGCUUGAUAAGUCAUUUAUAACUUAUCGGUGGGCUUUGCAUGGCCAAACCCAGAAGAAAGGAAGUGAGAGUAAAAUAGGGUCUGGAGUUUGCUAGGAAAAAUGCAGCAUAUCUUCAGGUCCUAGAUGGUACCAAGCCCUUGUGGGAAAUGUUCAAUCCGUCAGGCGUAAGAGUAAGGAACAACCAGUCUGUCCCAAUUUUGUGAAAAUUCCAGGGCUGUCAUUCUCGCUGUUUUUCAUUCCCACCACUUUCUCCUUUGGCUGGUUCAUGUAUCUUUGGAUAUCACUGGAAGCUUCCACUCUAAGGCCAAUUCUACAAAGUUCUGUAAAGAAUGCCGGGGCUGUUGCAUUUGGAGGGUGCACAGAGGCAAAAUGAAAGAAAGGACUGGAAAGAAAGAAACGACAGAAAACAGAUUUCCUGCUGUUGCAAAAGUAGGUGCCACAUGCUCCAAACUUCAAGAGAUGUUAAAAUGAAAGUUAAAGCUGGUGUAUGUAGUAGUCCCGGGGAGGGAAUGUUGUUGCCUUCAUACAAGAAGAGAGAAAACCCUCCCAAGGGAGGGUAGGAGAAGGAGUGGUGAGGAAGAAAGCAAGACAGGACCCCACAGACUACAAAACAAAACAAAAGUCCGUAACAUAUGAGUAUUUAAUAUGUGUUAAGGAGACUUUUAAAAAGAUUUCAGCCAUAAAAAAGCAAUGAAGCGCUGAUGUGUGCUAGAACAUGAAUCUUGAAAACAUUAUGCGGAGUGCCAUUUACAAAACAUCACAUAUUAUAUGAUUCCACUUAUAUAAAAUGCUCAGAAUAGGAAAAUCUUUAGAGACAGGCAGUCAAUUAGUGGUAGCCUUGAAAGGGGCAGGGAGUGGAGAGAGGGAGAUGUAACUGCCAAAGGGUUUUGCCAACAGGUUUCUCUCUGUGGCACUGAAAAUGUUCUAGAAUUGAUUGUGGUGGUGGCUGUACAACUCUGCAUAUACUAAAAACCAUUGAAUUAUACAUGUUAAAUGGGUGAAUGCUAUAGUUCUAUUGUUUGAAGAUCUGUG